UUUGAAAUACCGGUUCCCGUACGAUCAACGAAAUUAAGCAACAUCGAGCCUGAUUAAUAGCGAGAUGAGUGACCACUUGGAAAUACCAGAUGCUGUAAG